UAGAAAAUUUGAAAUUUUUUUUUUUUUACUUUUCAUUUCAUAUCAACAUUUUAAAUUUUGAUGCAUUUUUUAUUUUCUAAAAUCAUCAUUGCCUAUCUUUUCAAGAAUGUUGGCCUAUAAUUUUUUAUCCUAUCUAAACAACAAAAUUUUAUUUUGCAGGUAUUUCAAAGGGUUAGGUUUCAUUAAUUAGCAGCAAUGGAAUUCUUACCCUGACCAAUCUAGCAUGGGCAAAAAUUUCAUUUCGCUUUGCGACUUGUGGUCUUUGUAUAGUUUCAUUUUGAAAAUGUUUUUGCUAGAUUUUUUUAUUAUGUUCAUAUUUGGAAUAUCCUUUUUGUGUUUGUGCAUAUCAUUUCUAGUCCAGUUAUAUAUUGUCCUCUAUAUCUCAGAUGUAUUCUGGCCGAUUACUGAUUGGGUAGCGAGAGUCAAAGGAUUACUCGGUGUCAGAGGGUGAUGCUUCCAUAAGGUUUCUCUAUGGUUAUUUGAGAUGUAUUCUGACCGAUUACUGAUUGGACGUUGGCGAAGCUGGCCUUGCUGUAUGUGGAAUCAAUCUAUUAGGUUGCGGUUUGAUUGGCUUCUAUUGUGAAUUUGAUUUCUGCUCUUCGCGAUUGGCUUCUAUAUUUUCGCUUGCAUAGUCGCUAGCAGCAAGUAUGCUCCUUGUGUUUGAUUUCUAGUUUGUCGAUGCUGUUUGAGUAGAUAGGGCGGUGGUUGGUUUCUAAAAACCUCUUCGGGUUGGAUUGUGAAUUUUGGGUGUUUAUGAUGGCCAGAUUUUGCCUUGUAAUUAAGUGCUCAUUUAGACUUUUAAUGUAAAAUACUUUGCAUGGUAAAAAAAAAAAAAACUUAUAGCCUACUUAUAAAGCCAAAA